rnacentral:rRNA from 1 species
AGUGAACGCUGGCGGUAGGCCUAACACAUGCAAGUCGAACGGCAGCACAGUAAGAGCUUGCUCUUACGGGUGGCGAGUGGCGGACGGGUGAGGAAUACAUCGGAAUCUACUUUUUCGUGGGGGAUAACGUAGGGAAACUUACGCUAAUACCGCAUACGACCUACGGGUGAAAGCAGGGGAUCUUCGGACCUUGCGCGAUUGAAUGAGCCGAUGUCGGAUUAGCUAGUUGGCGGGGUAAGGGCCCACCAAGGCGACGAUCCGUAGCUGGUCUGAGAGGAUGAUCAGCCACACUGGAACUGAGACACUGUCCAGACUCCUACGGGAGGCAGCAGUGGGGAAUAUUGGACAAUGGGCGCAAGCCUGAUCCAGCCAUACCGCGUGGGUGAAGAAGGCCUUCGGGUUGUAAAGCCCUUUUGUUGGGAAAGAAAAGCAGCAGGUUAAUACCCCGCUGUUCUGACGGUACCCAAAGAAUAAGCACCGGCUAACUUCGUG